UACGUAGGGGGCGAGCGUUGUCCGGAUUCAUUGGGCGUAAAGCGCGCGCAGGCGGUUGGCAGAGCCCGGCGUGAAAGCCCCCAGCUCAACUGGGGGAGGCCGGUCGGAGACCUGUCGACUGGAGGCCGGGUAGGGGAGAGCGGAAUUCCCGGUGUAGCGGUGAAAUGCGCAGAUAUCGGGAGGAACACCGGUGGCGAAGGCGGUUCUCUGGGCCUGUACUGACGCUGAGGAACGAAAGCGUGGGGAGCGAACAGGG
rnacentral:rRNA from 1 species